AAGCAUCCAUCAGCACUGGGGCAAUGACUGGGACCUGCAGAACCGCUACAAGCUCCUGCAGAGUGCCACGGAGGCACAGAGACAAAAGAUCCAACGCACUGCCCGCAAGCUUUUCGGCCUCAGUGUACGCUGUCGCCACAAUCCCAACCACCAGCUGCCUAGAGAGAGAGACGCACAGGCAGAGGCCCAAGCAGUAAAGAGACCUCACCGAGAUCAUGCAGUGAAUCAAUUGCAGAGACAAGGCAAGAUUGAAAACAUUUUGACUCCAAUUCCAAUGCUCUGCUGAAAGCCCAUGUAGAUAUUUAACAUCUUUUCUGCCUGGGCCAGAAUGUGCAGAAUUAUCUAGUGUGACAAAUCCUCUUUUCCUCCGUCCCCGUGCAAAGGGAAUUGCCAUCUUCUGUGAUCAUCAAGCUGGCAACAUCAAUCUGGAAGUUUGUUAAUGACACUGACCUAAAUCUGUCACAUUGCAAGAAACUCUUCACAGCAGCUGGGAUUUGCUGCCAUAUAACAGCUUUAUGGUAUGUGGAACUCUCUAAUAAGCUGAUUAAAAAAUAAAAUGUUUGAAGCCUUAA
rnacentral:lncRNA from 1 species